rnacentral:lncRNA from 1 species
GGUGUCUGGUAGUUGCGGAGCUCAUAUCUUACACACGCAUUAACCCAACGCAGGUAAACCAACUCUUCUACUUCACUGAACCUGUUCGUUUGUAGGCCUUCCACUUGCUUUGUGAGGUCUUCGUUUGCAUGCGUCAGCUUCUUCCUAUCCUCUUGCAGCAACUUGAUGGUGACGCUGAGCAUGUCUAUCUCCACCGUCUUCAUCUUGAGCUGCUUGUGUAACUCAACAACGUCUGUCUCCUGUUCCUUGAGGCCAUAAUACUCCAACAGCUCGCCUUCAGGCUUCACCUCCCUCUCCUCCAGAUCACGCACAUGUCCAUGAAGCCUUUCUAGCUCAGAGUUACCAUUGUUGUAUCGAGAGCGUUCUUUGACAUCAAACCUGUCGCUUGGUUGGGGGAUGUCGAUCUCUCUUGACAGGAGGCUCUCGCUCUCGGAGAGCAUGUCAUCAUCAUCUGAAUGAGCUGAAUUGAUUAUCCCGCUGAUUGCUUUAACCUCUUCAUUCUCUUCCUCUUUCUCCCCCUGAACCACAGCAAUUGAAAACAAAAGUUAAAGUUAUAAGU